UACGUAGGCAGCAAGCGUUGUUCGGAGUUACUGGCGUAAAGGGUGCGUAGGCGGUCGGUAAGUCUGAUGUGAAAUCUCACAGCUUAACUGUGAACUGCAUUGGAUACUAUUCGGCUUGAGAGUUGGAGGGGGGACUGGAAUUCUUGGUGUAGCAGUGAAAUGCGUAGAUAUCAAGAGGAACACCAGUGGCGAAGGCGAGUCCCUGGACAACUUCUGACGCUGAGGCACGAAAGCUAGGGGAGCAAACAGG
rnacentral:rRNA from 1 species